UACGGGGGGGGCAAGCGUUGUUCGGAAUUACUGGGCGUAAAGGGCUCGUAGGCGGCCAACUAAGUCAGACGUGAAAUCCCUCGGCUUAACCGGGGAACUGCGUCUGAUACUGGAUGGCUUGAAUCCGGGAGAGGGAUGCGGAAUUCCAGGUGUAGCGGUGAAAUGCGUAGAUAUCGGAAGGAACACCUGUGGCGAAAGCGGCUCACUGGACCAUAACUGACGCUGAGGCGCGAAAGCUAGGGGGAGCAAACAGG
rnacentral:rRNA from 1 species